GACGAACGCUGGCGGCGUGCUUAACACAUGCAAGUCGAACGAAGAGCGAUGGAAGCUUGCUUCUAUCAAUCUUAGUGGCGAACGGGUGAGUAACGCGUAAUCAACCUGCCCUUCAGAGGGGGACAACAGUUGGAAACGACUGCUAAUACCGCAUACGAUCUAAUCUCGGCAUCGAGGAUAGAUGAAAGGUGGCCUCUACAUGUAAGCUAUCACUGAAGGAGGGGAUUGCGUCUGAUUAGCUAGUUGGAGGGGUAACGGCCCACCAAGGCGAUGAUCAGUAGCCGGUCUGAGAGGAUGAACGGCCACAUUGGGACUGAGACACGGCCCAGACUCCUACGGGAGGCAGCAGUGGGGAAUCUUCCGCAAUGGACGAAAGUCUGACGGAGCAACGCCGCGUGAGUGAUGACGGCCGUCGGGUUGUAAAGCCCUGUUAAUCGGGACGAAAGGCCUUCUUGCGAAUAGGGAGAAGGAUUGACGGUACCGGAAGAGAAAGCCACGGCUAACUACGUG
rnacentral:rRNA from 1 species